AUCCAUCUGAUGAGUCUCAUAGGACGAAAUGCGCAUCCUGGAU
rnacentral:hammerhead_ribozyme from 1 species